GACGAACGCUGGCGGCGUGCUUAACACAUGCAAGUCGAACGGAAAGGCCCUGCUUUUGUGGGGUGCUCGAGUGGCGAACGGGUGAGUAACACGUGAGUAACCUGCCCUUGACUUUGGGAUAACUUCAGGAAACUGGGGCUAAUACCGGAUAGGAGCUCCUGCUGCAUGGUGGGGGUUGGAAAGUUUCGGCGGUUGGGGAUGGACUCGCGGCUUAUCAGCUUGUUGGUGGGGUAGUGGCUUACCAAGGCUUUGACGGGUAGCCGGCCUGAGAGGGUGACCGGCCACAUUGGGACUGAGAUACGGCCCAGACUCCUACGGGAGGCAGCAGUGGGGAAUAUUGCACAAUGGGCGGAAGCCUGGUGCAGCAACGCCGCGUGCGGGAUGACGGCCUUCGGGUUGUAAACCGCUUUCGCCUGUGACGAAGCGUGAGUGACGGUAAUGGGUAAAGAAGCACCGGCUAACUACGUGCCAGCAGCCGCGGUGAUACGUAGGGUGCGAGCGUUGUCCGGAUUUAUUGGGCGUAAAGGGCUCGUAGGUGGUUGAUCGCGUCGGAAGUGUAAUCUUGGGGCUUAACCCUGAGCGUGCUUUCGAUACGGGUUGACUUGAGGAAGGUAGGGGAGAAUGGAAUUCCUGGUGGAGCGGUGGAAUGCGCAGAUAUCAGGAGGAACGCCAGUGGCGAAGGCGGUUCUCUGGGCCUUUCCUGACGCUGAGGAGCGAAAGCGUGGGGAGCGAACAGGCUUAGAUACCCUGGUAGUCCACGCUGUAAACGGUGGGUACUAGGUGUGGGGUCCAUUCCACGGGUUCCGUGCCGUAGCUAACGCUUUAAGUACCCCGCCUGGGGAGUACGGCCGCAAGGCUAAAACUCAAAGGAAUUGACGGGGCCCCGCACAAGCGGCGGAGCAUGCGGAUUAAUUCGAUGCAACGCGUAGAACCUUACCUGGGUUUGACAUGGAUCGGGAGUGCUCAGAGAUGGGUGUGCCUCUUUUGGGGUCGGUUCACAGGUGGUGCAUGGCUGUCGUCAGCUCGUGUCGUGAGAUGUUGGGUUAAGUCCCGCAACGAGCGCAACCCUUGUUCACUGUUGCCAGCACGUUAUGGUGGGGACUCAGUGGAGACCGCCGGGGUCAACUCGGAGGAAGGUGGGGAUGACGUCAAGUCAUCAUGCCCCUUAUGUCCAGGGCUUCACGCAUGCUACAAUGGCUGGUACAGAGAGUGGCGAGCCUGUGAGGGUGAGCGAAUCUCGGAAAGCCGGUCUCAGUUCGGAUUGGGGUCUGCAACUCGACCUCAUGAAGUCGGAGUCGCUAGUAAUCGCAGAACAGCAACGCUGCGGUGAAUACGUUCCCGGGGCU
rnacentral:rRNA from 1 species